rnacentral:rRNA from 1 species
GAUGAACGCUGGCGGCGUGCCUAAUACAUGCAAGUCGAGCGAACGGACGAGAAGCUUGCUUUUCUGAUGUUAGCGGCGGACGGGUGAGUAACGCGUGGAUAACCUACCUAUAAGACUGGGAUAACUUCGGGAAACCGGAGCUAAUACCGGAUAAUAUUUUGAACCGCAUGGUUCAAGAGUGAAAGACGGUCUUGCUGUCACUUAUAGAUGGAUCCGCGCUGCAUUAGCUAGUUGGUAAGGGAACGGCUUACCAAGGCAACGAUGCAUAGCCGACCUGAGAGGGUGAUCGGCCACACUGGAACUGAGACACGGUCCAGACUCCUACGGGAGGCAGCAGUAGGGAAUCUUCCGCAAUGGGCGAAAGCCUGACGGAGCAACGCCGCGUGAGUGAUGAAGGUCUUCGGAUCGUAAAACUCUGUUAUUAGGGAAGAACAUAUGUGUAAGUAACUGUGCACAUCUUGACGGUACCUAAUCAGAAAGCCACGGCUAACUACGUG